ensembl:lncRNA
UAUGGGCUUCGUGUGAUACCGUUUUGAGGCCCCAUGUUGAAGGACAGUGGUCCCACUGAGUAUAAGAAAGGUGUAUGAGCAUUACAAACAGAGUAGCGGGACAACGUGGCGUCUGAGGCCGAAAUGGGUCCCCUAAUCGGACUGAAUGGUGCGGUUGGGUGCCAACGGUCCGGAGGUCUUCCUGUAGCUCCAGAGUAGAGGGACAACGUCGCGUCUGAGUCCGAAAUGGGUCCCGUAAUCGGACUGAGUGGUGCGGUUGGGUGCCAACGGUCUGGAGGUCUUCCCGGAGCUCCAGAGUAGCGGGACAACUUCGCGUCUGAGGCCGAAUCGGGUCCCCUUGUCGGACUGAAUGGUGCAGUUGGUGGCCAACAGUCUGGAGGUCUUCCUGAGGCUCCAGAGGAGGGUAACUCUGUGAGUCUGAGUCCGAGAUGAGUCCCCUAAUCGGACUGAAUGGUGCAGUUUCAGUACGCCGUGGACCACUUUGGUCUGCC